rnacentral:rRNA from 1 species
AAAUUUGAAAUCUGGCACUUUCAGUGUCCGAGUUGUAAUUUGAAGAAGGUAUCUUUGGGUCUGGCUCUUGUCUAUGUUUCUUGGAACAGAACGUCACAGAGGGUGAGAAUCCCGUGCGAUGAGAUGACCCAGACCUAUGUAAAGUUCCUUCGAAGAGUCGAGUUGUUUGGGAAUGCAGCUCUAAGUGGGUGGUAAAUUCCAUCUAAAGCUAAAUAUUGGCGAGAGACCGAUAGCGAACAAGUACAGUGAUGGAAAGAUGAAAAGAACUUUGAAAAGAGAGUGAAAAAGUACGUGAAAUUGUUGAAAGGGAAGGGCUUGAGAUCAGACUUGGUAUUUUGUAUGUUACUCUUUCGGGGGUGGCCUCUACAGUUUACCGGGCCAGCAUCAGUUUGGGCGGUAGGAGAAUUGCAAAGAAAUGUGGCACUGCCUCGGUAGUGUGUUAUAGUCUUUGUCGAUACUGCCAGCCUAGACUGAGGACUGCGGCUUCGGCCUAGGAUGUUGGCAUAAUGAUCUUAAGUCGCCCU